rnacentral:rRNA from 1 species
UACGGAGGGUGCGAGCGUUGUCCGGAAUCACUGGGCGUAAAGGGCGCGUAGGCGGCAUGCCAAGCGUGUGGUGAAAGCCCGGGGCUCAACCCCGGGUCGGCCGUGCGGACUGGAGGGCUCGAGCACUGUAGGGGCAGAUGGAAUUCCGGGUGUAGCGGUGGAAUGCGUAGAGAUCCGGAAGAACACCGGUGGCGAAGGCGGUCUGCUGGGCAGUUGCUGACACUGAGGCGCGACAGCGUGGGGAGCAAACAGG